rnacentral:lncRNA from 1 species
CUCCAUACUUUAUAUAAAACUUAUCUACCAAAUUAAGAAUAUGUGCACUGCGAGCCUUCUCGUCAAUUUCGGAUCGGAUGUUGUAGCAGCGGUAGCUCUUUCCUUGCCUGUCCCAACACCUUUAUACGUAUUUUUCUCAACGGACAAUUUUUCUGUUUUUAAAAGUGCCUUGUGUAAGCUGUUGGACCAACAAAACGCACAUUUUUACACACCAUAAAUAGAAACUAAUUUAGCCAUCAAAUUUCUCGAUCUCAUAUUUUGUCGACAUCUUGUAACUCUUAUAAUAACAAAAGUACCAAAUAGCUCUGGUACCAGUUUGUUAUAAAAUUAAGCGCAAAGGUAAUAUUGGAGUUAAAUGAUCACGGGAAUAUUUUGGUGGUAAAAUACAAAUACAUGGCACACACAAAAGAGAAGAAUUUUAAGUGAAAAACCCAAACCAG